GCUCAAGUUUUUCGUGAUAAAAUUAUGUCAAUGGCUGAUGUUGGUGCCGGAGGUGAGGAAGCUGUUGUCACAUUUGACGGUAUUGCCAUACUUACUCCAAGGGGUCGUUAUAAUGUGGAGCUUCAUCUCUCAUUCUUGCGCUUGCAAGGGCAAGCCAAUGACUUUAAAAUUCAGUACAGCAGCGUAGUCCGUAUUUUUUUGUUGCCGAAGCAUAACCAACCACACACUUUGGUAGUUAUCACUCUUGAUCCUCCAAUUAGGAAGGGCCAAACUUUGUAUCCGCACAUUGUAUUGCAGUUUGAGACGGACAAUGUGGUAGACCUUUCGCUGGCUUUAAGCGAAGACCUUCUAAAUACAAAAUACAAGGAGAGGCUGCUAAUGGGUUACAAAGGUCUUAUUCAUGAUAUCUUUACUCAAAUUUUACGCGGCUUGUCUGGUUCCAAAGUUACUAAACCAGGGAAGUUCCGUAGUAGUCAAGAUGGGUAUGCGGUGAAGUCCUCAUUGAAGGCUGAAGAUGGACUCCUCUAUCCUCUUGAGAAAAGCUUCUUCUUUUUACCUAAACCUCCAACACUUAUACUGCAUGAAGAGAUUGAUUAUGUGGAAUUUGAGAGGCACGCUGCGGGCACGGCCAACAUGCAUUACUUUGAUCUUCUCAUCAGACUGAAAACUGAACAAGAACAUCUUUUCCGGAAUAUCCAGAGAAAUGAGUACCACAAUCUUUUUGAUUUCAUCAGUGGAAAGGGUUUGAAAAUAAUGAACCUUAAUGAAGCUCGGGCUACAGAAGGUGUUCCUGUUUUGCCCGAUGAUGACGAUGAUGCUGUUGAUCCACAUCUUGAGCGUAUUAAGAAUGAAGCGGGCGGGGAUGACAGUGAUGAAGAGGACGAAGAUUUUGUCAUCGAUAAGGAUGAUGGAGGGUCUCCUACUGAUGAUUCUGGAGGGGAUGAGUCUGAUGCCAGUGGUAGUGGUGGUGAGGAGGAGAAACCUGCAAAGAAGAAGCCUAAAAAGGAGGGUACUGUGUCAAAGCCAUCUACAAGCAGGAAAAAGGCAGAUGAUGAUGGAUCGAAGAAGAAAAAACAGAAAAAGAAGAAGGAUCCAAAUGCUCCGAAGAGGGCAAUUAGUGCUUUCAUGUACUUCUCGCAGAGUGAAAGGGAGAAUGUGAAGAAAAGU
rnacentral:misc_RNA from 1 species